rnacentral:tRNA from 1 species
GGGAUGUGGCUUAGUGGUAGAGUAUAUACUUAGUAUGUGUAAGGCCCUAUGUUUGAUCCCCAGCACCAUCA